CCUGGUGCUAAUGGUGCGAUGGACCCACGCUGACCCAUCCCGAACUCAGUUGUGAAACGUUGUUACGGCGAAGAUACUUGGGGGGUUGCCCCCUGGAAAAAUAGCUCAGUGCCAGGU
rfam:Pseudanabaena sp. PCC 7367, complete genome.